GACGAACGCUGGCGGCGUGCUUAACACAUGCAAGUCGAACGGUGAACGAGGGAGCUUGCUCCCUCCGGAACAGCGGCGAACGGGUGAGUAACACGUGAGCAAUCUGCCCCGGACUCUGGGAUAAGCGUUGGAAACGACGUCUAAUACCGGAUACGAAGCGGGAGGGCAUCCUCUCCGCGUGGAAAGAACUUCGGCUUGGGAUGAGCGCGCGGCCUAGCAGUUUGUUGGUGAUGGAACGGCUCAGCAAGGCGACGACGGGGAGCCGGCCUGGGAGGGUGACCGGCCACACUGGGACUCAGGAGCCGCCCGGACUCCUACGGGAGGCAGCAGUGAGAGAUAGUGCACGAUGGGCGCAAGCCGUGUGCAGCAUCGCCGCGUCGGGGAAGUCGGCCGUCGGGUUGUAAACCUCUUUUGGCUGGGAAGAAGCGAAAGUGACGGUACCUGCAGAAAAAGCACCGGCUAACUACGUG
rnacentral:rRNA from 1 species